UAUGGGUUUUGCUAUUACAGUCAGUC
rnacentral:piRNA from 1 species